rnacentral:rRNA from 1 species
GAUGAACGCUGGCGGCGUGCCUAAUACAUGCAAGUCGAGCGAACAGACGAGGAGCUUGCUCCUCUGACAUUAGCGGCGGACGGGUGAGUAACACGUGGAUAACCUACCUAUAAGACUGGGAUAACUUCGGGAAACCGGAGCUAAUACCGGAUAAUAUAUUGAACCGCAUGGUUCAAUAGUUAAAGACGGUUUUGCUGUCACUUAUAGAUGGAUCCGCGCUGCAUUAGCUAGUUGGUAAGGUAACGGCUUACCAAGGCAACGAUGCGUAGCCGACCUGAGAGGGUGAUCGGCCACACUGGAACUGAGACACGGUCCAGACUCCUACGGGAGGCAGCAGUAGGGAAUCUUCCGCAAUGGGCGAAAGCCUGACGGAGCAACGCCGCGUGAGUGAUGAAGGUCUUCGGAUCGUAAAACUCUGUUAUUAGGGAAGAACAAAUGUGUAAGUAACUAUGCACGUCUUGACGGUACCUAAUCAGAAAGCCACGGCUAACUACGUG